AUUGAACGCUGGCGGCAGGCUUAACACAUGCAAGUCGAGCGGAGAUGAGGUGCUUGCACCUUAUCUUAGCGGCGGACGGGUGAGUAAUGCUUAGGAAUCUGCCUAUUAGUGGGGGACAACAUUCCGAAAGGAAUGCUAAUACCGCAUACGUCCUACGGGAGAAAGCAGGGGAUCUUCGGACCUUGCGCUAAUAGAUGAGCCUAAGUCGGAUUAGCUAGUUGGUGGGGUAAAGGCCUACCAAGGCGACGAUCUGUAGCGGGUCUGAGAGGAUGAUCCGCCACACUGGGACUGAGACACGGCCCAGACUCCUACGGGAGGCAGCAGUGGGGAAUAUUGGACAAUGGGGGAAACCCUGAUCCAGCCAUGCCGCGUGUGUGAAGAAGGCCUUAUGGUUGUAAAGCACUUUAAGCGAGGAGGAGGCUACUGAGACUAAUACUCUUGGAUAGUGGACAUUACUCGCAGAAUAAGCACCGGCUAACUCUGUGCCAGCAGCCGCCGUAACAC
rnacentral:rRNA from 1 species